AUUYGGCAGAGAUGCCUUAGUGCCUUCGGGAACCGUGAGACAGGUGCUGCAUGGCUGUCGUCAGCUCGUGUUGUGAAAUGUUGGGUUAAGUCCCGCAACGAGCGCAACCCUUAUCCUUUGUUGCCAGCACGUAAUGGUGGGAACUCAAAGGAGACUGCCGGUGAUAAACCGGAGGAAGGUGGGGAUGACGUCAAGUCAUCAUGGCCCUUACGGCCAGGGCUACACACGUGCUACAAUGGCGCAUACAAAGAGAAGCGACCUCGCGAGAGCAAGCGGACCUCAUAAAGUGCGUCGUAGUCCGGAUCGGAGUCUGCAACUCGACUCCGUGAAGUCGGAAUCGCUAGUAAUCGUAGAUCAGAAUGCUACGGUGAAUACGUUCCCGGGCCUUGUACACACCGCCCGUCACACCAUGGGAGUGGGUUGCAAAAGAAGUAGGUAGCUUAACCUUCGGGAGGGCGCUUACCACUUUGUGAUUCAUGACUGGGGUGAAGUCGUAACAAGGUAACCGUAGGGAACCUGC
rnacentral:rRNA from 1 species